UGUUUUUCCCAGGCAUGGUUUUGGCGAUUGUCGUAAGCCGCUGCACGAGUCUGCUGCACUCCUCCAGGAGAUUGUUCACUCGCAGAUGGUCUUUCUUCUUUACCAAGCUUCAGAGAUGGCAGCAAAGAGAAACGGUCGAUUCAUCAGUCUCGAAGACUUUUUAUUUCUUUUGAGAAAAGAUAAGGUGAAGCUACGACGUCUGCUGCGGUACAUGAAGAUGAAAGAUCUGAAGAGUUCUUCCUUACGAGGCACCGGGUUCGAAGAGGAUGAGCAGUCAGAAGCCU